rnacentral:rRNA from 1 species
UAUUGCACAAUGGGGGAAACCCUGAUGCAGCGACGCCGCGUGGAGGAAGAAGGUCUUCGGAUUGUAAACUCCUGUUGUUGAGGAAGAUAAUGACGGUACUCAACAAGGAAGUGACGGCUAACUACGUGCCAGCAGCCGCGGUAAAACGUAGGUCACAAGCGUUGUCCGGAAUUACUGGGUGUAAAGGGAGCGCAGGCGGGAAGACAAGUUGGAAGUGAAAUCUAUGGGCUCAACCCAUAAACUGCUUUCAAAACUGUUUUUCUUGAGUAGUGCAGAGGUAGGCGGAAUUCCCGGUGUAGCGGUGGAAUGCGUAGAUAUCGGGAGGAACACCAGUGGCGAAGGCGGCCUACUGGGCACCAACUGACGCUGAGGCUCGAAAGUGUGGGUAGCAAACAG